CGAGCCUGCAGUGCGCAAGCGCGGGACAUCUCCGUUUCCCUCCCUCAGCCCCUUCCCCCCCUACCCCCCCGCCCCGGCCUCCUUUCCCCUUCACGAAGCCGGCUCUGGGGCGCGCUCACCCCUGUGAGGAGGCCGGAGGUCGGACUCAGGAGGCUCCUUCUCCACUCCCGGAAGAUCAUGUACCAGCCCAGCCGGGGUGCGGCCCGGCGUCUCGGCCCUUGCCUGCGCGCCUACCAGGCUCGACCCCAGGACCAGCUUUAUCCAGGGACUCUACCAUUCCCACCCCUUUGGCCCCACUCCACGACAACCACUUCCCCAUCUUCUCCUCUAUUCUGGUCUCCCCUGCCCCCACGCCUUCCCACCCAGCGUCUUCCCCAGGUUCCCCCACUACCUCUCCCUCAGAUCCAGGCCCUCAGCUCAGCAUGGGUGGUUCUCCCUCCAGGAAAGGGGGAGGAGGGACCAGGACCUGAGUUGCAUAGCGGCUGCCUGGAUGGGCUUAGAAGCCUUUUUGAGGGACCUCCCUGCCCCUAUCCUGGGGCUUGGAUACCUUUCCAAGUCCCUGGAACUGCCCACCCUUCCCCUGCCACCCCGUCAGGAGAUCCUAGUAUGGAGGAACAUCUGUCUGUCAUGUAUGAGAGACUGAGACAAGAGCUUCCCAAGCUCUUCCUUCAGUCCCACGACUACAGUCUGUAUUCCUUGGAUGUGGAAUUCAUCAAUGAGAUCCUCAACAUACGUACCAAGUGAGAAUUGGGGCACAGGGGCCGGACAUGGUACAUUCUUUCACUGACCCUCUGCCGUUUCCUGGCCUGGAAUUAUUUUGCACACCUUCGUUUGGAGGUUUUACAGCUGACCCGCCACCCUGAGAACUGGACCCUGCAAGCCCGGUGGCGGCUUGUGGGGCUGCCCGUCCACUUGCUCUUUUUGCGGUUCUACAAGCGUGACAAAGACGAGCAUUACCGGACCUAUGAUGCCUACUCCACUUUCUACCUGAAUUCCAGUGGCCUCAUUUGUCGCCAUCGUCUAGAUAAACUGAUGCCUUCACACUCACCUCCAACGCCUGUGAAGAAGCUGCUAGUGGGAGCCCUGGUGGCCCUGGGGCUGUCAGAGCCAGAACCUGACUUAAACCUGUGUUCCAAGCCCUGAUCCUUGACCUUGGAGUGGAGGCAGCACUGAAGACUGCUACGCCCAAGAGAAGGAGGUGGAGGCAGCCAAGAAUCUCAGGAGCCAGCUUCCUCUCCUCGUUUCUCUCCUUCCUUCCUUUCCAUCUCAUGCUGUGUAAAGCUGCUGUGUAAUUUAACUUGUAAAUAAUAAAGUUUAACUGACUAUAUGAGAUAGAA
rnacentral:misc_RNA from 1 species